rnacentral:rRNA from 1 species
UGGGUGCUUGCACUGAAUGGACGUCGACCGGCGCACGGGUGAGUAACGCGUAUCCAACCUUCCCGUUACUGCGGGAUAACCUGCCGAAAGGCAGACUAAUACCGCAUGUUCUUCGAUGACGGCAUCAGAUUCGAAGCAAAGAUCCGUCGGUAACGGAGGGGGAUGCGUCUGAUUAGCUAGUUGGCGGGGCGACGGCCCACCAAGGCGACGAUCAGUAGGGGUUCUGAGAGGAAGGUCCCCCACAUUGGAACUGAGACACGGUCCAAACUCCUACGGGAGGCAGCAGUGAGGAAUAUUGGUCAAUGGGCGGAAGCCUGAACCAGCCAAGUAGCGUGCAGGAGGACGGCCCUACGGGUUGUAAACUGCUUUUAUGCGGGGAUAAAGUGAGGGACGUGUCCCUUUUUGCAGGUACCGCAUGAAUAAGGACCGGCUAAUUCCGUGCCAGCAGCCGCGGUAAUACGGAAGGUCCGGGCGUUAUCCGGAUUUAUUGGGUUUAAAGGGAGCGUAGGCCGGGGAUUAAGUGUGUUGUGAAAUGUAGGCGCCCAACGUCUGACUUGCAGCGCAUACUGGUUCCCUUGAGUACGCGCAACGCCGGCGGAAUUCGUCGUGUAGCGGUGAAAUGCUUAGAUAUGACGAAGAACCCCGAUUGCGAAGGCAGCCGGCGGGAGCGCAACUGACGCUGAAGCUCGAAGGUGCGGGUAUCGAACAGGAUUAGAUACCCUGGUAGUCCGCACGGUAAACGAUGGAUGCCCGCUGUCGGCGCCUUGCGCGGGCGGCCAAGCGAAAG